UUAAAUUGAAGAGUUUGAUCAUGGCUCAGAUUGAACGCUGGCGGCAGGCCUAACACAUGCAAGUCGAACGGUAGCACAGAGAGCUUGCUCUCUUGC
rnacentral:rRNA from 1 species